rnacentral:rRNA from 1 species
AUUGAACGCUGGCGGCAUGCUUUACACAUGCAAGUCGGACGGUAACAGGCCGCAAGGUGCUGACGAGUGGCGAACGGGUGAGUAAUGCAUCGGAACGUGCCCAGUCGUGGGGGAUAACUACUCGAAAGAGUAGCUAAUACCGCAUACGAUCUAUGGAUGAAAGCGGGGGACCGUAAGGCCUCGCGCGAUUGGAGCGGCCGAUGUCAGAUUAGGUAGUUGGUGGGGUAAAGGCUCACCAAGCCAACGAUCUGUAGCUGGUCUGAGAGGACAACCAGCCACACUGGGACUGAGACACGGCCCAGACUCCUACGGGAGGCAGCAGUGGGGAAUUUUGGACAAUGGGCGCAAGCCUGAUCCAGCAAUGCCGCGUGCAGGAAGAAGGCCUUCGGGUUGUAAACUGCUUUUGUACGGAACGAAACGGCUCUGGUUAAUACCCGGGGCUAAUGACGGUACCGUAAGAAUAAGCACCGGCUAACUACGUG